rnacentral:rRNA from 1 species
CCCUUAGAUGUUCUGGGCUGCACGCGCGCUACACUGAUGCGUUCAACGAGUUUAUGACCUUGCCCGAUAGGGUUGGGUAAUCUUUUUAAAUCGCAUCGUGAUGGGGAUAGAUUAUUGCAAUUAUUAGUCUUCAACGAGGAAUUCCUAGUAAACGCAAGUCAUCAGCUUGCAUUGAUUACGUCCCUGCCCUUUGUACACACCGCCCGUCGCACCUACCGAUUGAAUGGUCCGGUGAAAUCUCGGGACGGCGGCUUGGUCGCUUGCGUCCGACUGCUGAAACUUGAUUAAACCAUAUCAUUUAGAGGAAGGUGAAGUCGUAACA